CAUUGGCGAGGACGCCGGAAGGAUUUCUAACUCAGGAUGAGGGUCAGGAGCGCCAGGAGGCGAAGACUUAGGAUUGUCAGGAUGACAAACGUCCGGAGACGUAGCGAAAGGAAAUGGAGCAGUACAGGGAUUGUUCCAGGCUAAAGGAAAGACAGGGUGUGUCGGUAGCUAACAUGGAAUGUAGCGCCCGUUGAGGGUGGAGAGUCAGAAAAAGGCGACAGAUUACUCUGUCGCCUUUUUUCUUUGUUGGUAU
rnacentral:sRNA from 1 species